GACGAACGCUGGCGGCGUGCUUAACACAUGCAAGUCGUACGGUAAGGCCCUUUCGGGGGUACAUGAGUGGCGAACGGGUGAGUAACACGUGAGUAACCUGCCCACAACUUUGGGAUAACGCUAGGAAACUGGUGCUAAUACUGGAUAUGUGCUCCUGCUGCAUGGUGGGGGUUGGAAAGCUCCGGCGGUUGUGGAUGGACUCGCGGCCUAUCAGCUUGUUGGUGGGGUAGUGGCCUACCAAGGCGGCGACGGGUAGCCGGCCUGAGAGGGUGACCGGCCACAUUGGGACUGAGAUACGGCCCAGACUCCUACGGGAGGCAGCAGUGGGGAAUAUUGCACAAUGGGCGCAAGCCUGAUGCAGCAACGCCGCGUGCGGGAUGACGGCCUUCGGGUUGUAAACCGCUUUCAGCAGGGACGAAGCUUUUUGUGACGGUACCUGCAGAAGAAGCACCGGCUAACUACGUG
rnacentral:rRNA from 1 species